rnacentral:rRNA from 1 species
AACGAACGCUGGCGGCGUGCCUAACACAUGCAAGUCGUGCGAGAAAGUUCCUUCGGGAGCGAGUAAAGCGGCGCACGGGUGAGUAACACGUAGGUAACCUGCCCCCCAGUCUGGAACAACUAGAGGAAACUCUAGCUAAUGCCGGAUGAGACCACGAUCCCUUCGGGGGUUGCGGCCAAAGAUGGCCUCUACUUGUAAGCUAUCGCUGAGGGAUGGGCCUGCGGGCCAUUAGCUUGUUGGUGAGGUAACGGCUCACCAAGGCUGUGAUGGCUAGCUGGUCUGAGAGGAUGACCAGCCACACUGGGACUGAGACACGGCCCAGACUCCUACGGGAGGCAGCAGUGGGGAAUAUUGGACAAUGGGCGAAAGCCUGAUCCAGCAAUGCCGCGUGAGUGAUGAAGGCCUUAGGGUUGUAAAGCUCUUUUACCCGGGAUGAUAAUGACAGUACCGGGAGAAUAAGCCCCGGCUAACUCCGUGCCAGCAGCCGCGGUAAU